GCCGCAAGGUUAAAACUCAAAUGAAUUGACGGGGGCCCGCACAAGCGGUGGAGCAUGUGGUUUAAUUCGAUGCAACGCGAAGAACCUUACCUACUCUUGACAUCCAGAGAACUUUCCAGAGAUGGAUUGGUGCCUUCGGGAACUCUGAGACAGGUGCUGCAUGGCUGUCGUCAGCUCGUGUUGUGAAAUGUUGGGUUAAGUCCCGCAACGAGCGCAACCCUUAUCCUUUGUUGCCAGCGGUUCGGCCGGGAACUCAAAGGAGACUGCCAGUGAUAAACUGGAGGAAGGUGGGGAUGACGUCAAGUCAUCAUGGCCCUUACGAGUAGGGCUACACACGUGCUACAAUGGCGUAUACAAAGAGAAGCGACCUCGCGAGAGCAAGCGGACCUCAUAAAGUACGUCGUAGUCCGGAUUGGAGUCUGCAACUCGACUCCAUGAAGUCGGAAUCGCUAGUAAUCGUAGAUCAGAAUGCUACGGUGAAUACGUUCCCGGGCCUUGUACACACCGCCCGUCACACCAUGGGAGUGGGUUGCAAAAGAAGUAGGUAGCUUAACCUUCGGGAGGGCGCUUACCACUUUGUGAUUCA
rnacentral:rRNA from 1 species